rnacentral:lncRNA from 1 species
ACCUAGAAAAUAAAUUUUAUUAUUUUUCGAUAUCAUUUGCCUAGUGAUCGAAUAGCCCAAAAUAACACAUUCAAUGGUCCCUAGUGACCGUUUCAAGUUAACGUGUAGAAUACCAAAAUCACGUGAAAUUUGAUAGGAAAAAUCUUAUACUAUAUAAAACUCAAGUCACAUAAUCUUUUAUUAAAAUUUUAAUAUAUUAUUCACAUUUUAAGAUUUUUAUUUUCACCGUUGAUAUUUGAGCCCUUCCUUCCUAGACAAUGAAUGUAAAAUCUAUAAAAUAUUUUUCUAGGUACUUCAAUACUCUAGAUCAGUUUAACGAGCGAUCACAUUGAAAUGAAACACUCGAAAACGACUGGAAGCACAAGGCUCCGCUCCGCUAGAUAGUAGCCUCACUCAUAAUAUAUAAUAUAAUCAAUUAAGAGCUACUAUGCUAGCGAAGAUAGAGGAUGUGCUUUCGUUCUGAUUCUAAUCAAAUCCCUUUAAAUCAUUUUUAUCUUGAUUAAUACAUAUACAUAUGUAGGACCACUCAAUCAUAGGGAUAUUAUUAAUCCUAGGAAACCGCAAUCAUCCACCAUACCAAUCUUAAUCAAAUGGUCAAAAAAUUCAAAACAAUCAAAUCCUCAUAAUUUCGAUACGCAUAGUAUUCUCACAUACUCUAAAUAUAAUAAAGUAUACUUAGAUUCCGCACUAUACCUAUCCGAUAGUACCGACAGCCCUUGACUAUUGAGUUAUCUAAACGUCAAUCUACCCUUUUUAUCAUUUCCACCAUUAAAUAUACUAUUAACCAACCACCCACUCAACCCUAGGGGACACUACAAUUUUAAACCGGGAUCACACAUCUAACCGCAUCAUUCUUUUCAUCCAACUGUCCGAAAUCAAUAUAACCAAGGGCUUGGAACAUGAUAUAUAUACAUAGUUCAAUAUAUAUAUAUAUAUAUAUAUUAAAAAUAUAUAAAUAUAAUAUAUUUUAAUUAUAUAUAGGCUGAGUGAAUAAUCUCAGUUUAGUUAAAAUUGAGCCAAUGUUGUUGACCCAUUAAAACAAAUCCAAUAGACAAAUAAAAGAGCAAAAUUUCACUAAAUUUAUACAUUUUUCUUUUCUUUCUUUCUUUCACAAAGCUCUAAAUUUUCAAUAUGUUUCUCUCUUUCUCUUUUUCUGUCUCUCACCCUAAGUGGCCAAGCUGGAAGCCCUCCAAGUUACCAACUAACAGCAUAUGCCCGCCGUUUGACUACCUUACUAUUAAUUGUGUGCUUGAAAAAAUAUACAUAAUAUUUUAAAAUAAAAAAUUAUUAUUCAUAUAAAAUUUUAAUUUUAGUUAUAUAUGAUUGGAUAGUUUAAUCCAAUAUUUAUCUAUAUAAUUUAUUUAUUUUUGACUGCAUAAAUGGAAAUGAAAAAUAUGGAGAUUGAAGGCGGAAAAAAAGACAUGUGAGGCUGAAAAGAUUAGAUAUUUAACUCAUAAAUUAUUUUUUCAUAUUAUAAUACUAUAUUUUAUAUAAUUAUUUUGUACUUUGAGCUAUUAGAUAUAUUUUUGUAUCAAAUUAUAGAUAAUGUUCUAUACAAAUUAAACUAUUGAUCGUAUGAUGUUGAGAAUUUCAAGCGGCUCGUUUAGGGCUCGAGCUCGCUCGACUCGAAAUUAGGCUCGCUCGAGCUCGGCUCGAAUUAAUUUCAAUCCAAGCUUGAGCUUAAAUUUAGGCUCGAAAUUAAUUUCAAGCCGAAUUUGAGCCGAGGUAAGCUCGCUCGAGCUCGGCUCGUUUCCACCCCUACAUAUGUACAUGUAUACAUGUAUACAUAUGUAUACAUAUGUACAUAUGUAUACAUGUAUACAUGUACAUAUGUACAUGUAUACAUGUAUAUACAUAUGUACAUGUAUAAAUGUACAUAUAUGUACAUAUAUGUACAUAUAUGUACAUAUAGAGUGAGGCUACUAUGCUUCUGGAAGCACGGAGCCUUCCGUGCUUCCAGGUCAUUUUCGAUGUUGCGACUUUCGAAUCAUCGAUCGGCUCCGUUAAACUUGAUUUAGAGUAUUUGGAGUACCUAGAAAAUAAAUUUUAUUAUUUUUCAAUAUCAUUUACCUAGUGAUCGAAUGGGCUCAAAAUUAACAAAUUUCAAUGGCCGUAGUGAGCCGUUUGCAAGUUUAACGGUGUAGAAAUAUCCAAAUCACGUGAAAUUUUGAUAGAAAAUUCUUUAUACUAUAUAAAACAAGAUCAAUAUCUUUGAUCUAAAAUUUUAAUGUCAUAUUAUCACGUUUUGUAAGAUUUUUAUUUUCAGCCGUUGAUUUUGAGCCCCUUAGUUCACUAGGCAAAUGAUAUCGAAAAAUUGCAAAAUUUAUUUUCUAGGUACUUCAAAUACUCUAGAUCAAGUUUAACGGAGCCGAUCGACGAUUCGAAAGUCGCAACAUC